CCUACGGGGCGCAGCAGUAGGGAAUCUUUCACAAUGGGCGAAAGCCUGAUGGAGCAACGCCGCGUGCAGGAUGAAGGCCUUCGGGUUGUAAACUGCUUUUAUAAGCGAGAAAUAUGAUGGUAACUUAUGAAUAAGGAUCGGCUAACUACGUGCCAGCAGCCGCGGUCAUACGUAGGAUCCGAGCAUUAUCCGGAGUGACUGGGUGUAAAGAGUUGCGUAGGUGGCAUAAUAAGUAGCUAGUGAAAUCUGGUGGCUCAACCAUUCAGACUAUUAGCUAAACUGUUAAGCUCGAGACCGUUAGGGGUAACUGGAAUUUCUAGUGUAGGAGUGAAAUCCGUAGAUAUUAGAAAGAACACCGAUAGCGUAGGCAGGUUACUGGGACGGUUCUGACACUAAGGCACGAAAGCGUGGGGAGCGAACAGGAUUAGAUACCCGAGUAGUC
rnacentral:rRNA from 1 species